GAAGCUCAGUCCGCCCCCGUCUGUCCCGCCCCUAAUCGCACAGCAGAAGUUUGUUUGGUUUUCGGCUCCGCCCGCCUUCCUGAAGAGAAAGUGAGGAGGCAAAUUCGCUGUUUUCUCAGUCCUCCUCCUCCCGCCCCCUCGAGUCACGUGAUCCAUUUGGUCCGGCCUUUCCGCACCCGACUUCGACACUUGGCCACAGGAGCCAGCUGCGGCACCUGCCGGGGUGUUGUAUCACAGUACCUUCAGUUUGUUACCGGCUGGGCAAGAUUUUCAAUUCUUUUUAAACGUUUAUUCAUUUCUGAGAGACAGAGAAAGAGAGCAAGCAGGGGUGGGGCAGAGAGAGAGGGAGACACAGAACCUGAAACAGGCUCUAGGCUCCGGAGCUGUCAGCACAGAGAUGAUGACCUGAGCCUAAGUCGGAUGCUUAACCCACUGAGCCACCCAGGCACCGGUGGGCAAUUUCUGAAUUCCGCUCUUUGUCCUUCCACCUGGAUGAGUUUCUUCCUCCGCAGGUCAAAAAAGGCCCCUUCAAGCUUAUUCGUUUGUUCAGCAAAUACUAUUAUGUAUCUGGAACUCUGUUGUGGGCUGGAUUUACGAAGAUGAACGUGGCAGGUGUCUAUGAAAGUCUGGCCCCUGCUUGCUGAAUUCUUCCAAAAGCACUGGAUUUUUGUCACUAGGAUUGGAUGUUGCUGGAGUUGUGAGAUGUCUCAGCUCUGGAGAUUAUGUUAUUACUGUCAUUCUCCCUCCCAGGUACCAUAUUUAGGAUUUUUAGACCUAUUUAUAAACCACGGACUCCUUGUUUACACCGGCUGGUGCCUACCGCAGAAGAAAUACUUGUUGACUGACUCUCUUAGUCCAUUCAUUAAAAUUGGCUUAUUAACCUUC